UUCUGCAUCACCGCCUCUCUACAGGGCUUUGUCAUCUUUCUCAUGAUGACAGCCCGAGACAAGAACGUGCGACAGUUUUGGAAAUCCAAAUUCUGUGGCGAUAGAGAGAAGAAGGACAGCUCUUACACAUGGGACAACAAAUCAGGUACUGGCAGCAACAGUCAGCCCGUCCGAAUUCCUCGUCUUCAGAGCGAAUUCGCGAAUGCGCGGUCACGCACGGACAGCACGACAUUUACAGGAAGUGACGACGGCGGAAAUGGAUAUUACGGCGGAAGCGGGGGUAGGUUUAGUGUGUCUGAUGACGGCAGACGUGGAUCCAACCAAUCAAACAAUGGGCCCCUUAAGCCGAGGGGUUACGGGAAGAACGAAAUGGUGUUAUUCUAAUCCUAACUGUUACAUAUUGUACUUGUACAUACACGUGAUUAAUGUUGCAUGAUUUAUACUUACUGUACUGAUAUCUUGAAACGUUAUAGUUGGCUGAGAGUCCAACUGAAAGCAUGAUUACCCAAUUGUUAUUAUUGAAGUUUUCCUUUUGUAAAUUGUUCUUGGAUACAUAUUCUAUAUAGGGAGGGUGCCAUGACAAAGCACUCUAUAUUCAUGUUUCUUGAAAUGGGAAAUAUGAAAAAUAAAUAUUUUAAAAAUCCAUUCGAAUCAAAUAUAUAGGCCCACAAAUUAUUGAAAACCGAUUUUGUUCUCCUUUUUAUUUGUCAAAAUGGCGUAUAUCCUUUGGGGGUUUUUUGUCAACACGCAAAGCAUUCGUAAAAUUCAAAUAUAUAAUUUUCAAUUUUAAACGUGUAUUAUUGUGGUCAAGUUUAAAACAGCAAUAUUAACGUAUCUGAAUCUUGUUAUGUUCAUUGUGAAAGUUUAGUAAGAUUUAGAAAGGAUGGCUGGAGGCAUUUUUCUGCCUUUCUAGUAAAUAGAUACGGGCUGAUUGAUUGCUUUGUUUGUGUGUGUAUGUGUGUUUGUGUGUGUGUGUGUGUGUGUGUGUGUGUGUGUGUGUGUGUGUGUGUGUGUGUGUGUGUGUGUGUGUGUGUCUGUGUGUGUCUGUGUGUGUCUGAGUGUGUGAAUGUGGUGAGUAACGCGUUUUCUCACGAAACCCUUCAUAUAUAACAAUAUAGUAUGCACGUGUAUACUUUUUUUUUGGGGGGGGGGGAGGGCGGGUGUUGUUGUUUUGUCAAAACACGAAAAACAGCUCAUUUGAAAGAACAAAACGAGGGUAUGGUUUUUUGUUAACUUGAAUUUCGACAUUUUGGUCAAGUUCAAAAUCGACUGAGUCAUUGACAACCAUUUUUAAAAUCAAUAUUCUCUUUUGUCUUUGUCGCCUUGGCUGCAAAGACAGUUGCUCGCCAACUAAUAUUCGCUGUCACUAUUGUUUUUUUCUUUACCCAUGAAAUUACCAUCUGUAGUUAACUGGGAAAAGAGAGCAAAAUUGUUUAGUCGUGGUGCCUGUGAAGAUACACAUUUCCCUUAAUGACAUUUAAAAUACUUAGCCUAUUGAGAGGCAGUAGUCAAUUUCUAACGUCUGUCUUCAAAAGGAGCAAGCCUGUGUUAGGAGAUUCAAGAAAUCCUUGACAAAGUGUUUUGAGAAUAUGAGAGAAUAUAGAGACCUACGGACCAUUAUUGCAUUACUGGAGCCAAAACCUCAACAAUUAUAGUGGAUACCUUUGCGCACGGCGCCUAGAAUUAUAUAAUGUUUAUCUGACGACCGAGCAUGGUAAAUGCUGUUCUUAUCCUCAUCCUCAGUACCUUUCUCAUCCUGGAUUAGGACAUAGGUCACGAACAAACACUUCCCUCCUCUCCCUAUCGUGGGCUAGCCCCCUUGAUGUUAUUCCAGGUCUUCCUACUUUUCUGUACAUCAAUUUCUGCGACUCUUCUUCAUGUAUGUUCCACGUGGUCUUCCCCUUGAUCUUUUACCCUGUUGGUUCCAAUACAACACUUUCCUUGUUAUACAACCGCUGCUUGACUUCAUGAGAGUAUGUCCAAUCCACUGCCACCGCCUUCUCCCCACCUCAUCUCAGGCUGUCUUGUUCUCUUCAAUACUUCCUCGUUGGUGACCCUGGCUGUCUAUCUGAUCCUCAGUAGCUUCCUAAGCCACUUGUUCAAGAAAACCUAGAUCCUCUAUAUAUUAUGCAAGUCUGAGAUGCCUGCCAUGUCACACAUUAUCCAUACCACAUGCUAACUGGGUUUACAGUUUAUUGCUUUCAUUUAUUUUAUUGCUCAAAACUGCGAUGGCCGCGAUUUAACCGUUAAGCGAUUGGCUGUCUCACGCAGAAGAGCUACGUUCGAUGCCCAUGUGGGGAUUAUAAUUUUUAUUGAGUAGCUCUUUCUUCUUGGUCGUUAUAACCUUAAUAGCCCUUGUUUACUUGAGGAGCAGGAUUUAAACAGCCCACCUCCUCCUAAAUGAUUUAGAUAGUGUCGAUGGCGGUGCAAAACUUCUACAGUUAUAUCUGUUAUUUAUUGCUCAAAGGACUUCAUGCUUGAUAUUACUAUUCGUGGGUCUUUGGCGGAUUUUUUUUCAUUGAGAAGACUCAAAGGUAGGACAAGGACUGUCUUAAAGAGUGUGCAAACAUAGCUAGAACUAACAUAAUUUGAAUCCGGAGAUAUGUUUCAGUAACCGCUGUUUGGCAUGCCGUUUGUUAUUGGUUUUGUUUUUAAGGGGGCGGGGAAAUCCUAAAUGGUGACAAGCUAUGAUUCUUUUCUCUCUUCGCUGACAACACAGUAUUGAGCACAUUUUCUGUAACCAAAUAUGUCAAGAUGCUCUGUAACUAUUACAUAUUAGAUUGAAAGGGUCAUAAUAUAUAGGAGGAUCUAAGUGGCAAAAUCUUGCUAAAAAUGGAGUUUAUAGUAUGAAGACAUGAUGUGUCAGGGGGAGGUUAUACAACACUCACUGAUACUUGGAUACCUCCUGCAGGGAGAUGAAAAGCCAUUUUGUUUUGGAUGUAAUGAUGAGGUCACAAUCAGGCACUUCCUAAUAGAAUGUCCAGACUUUGGACAUAUAAUAUACAGACUUCAACAUAGGUUUAGGACGACCAUGACAGACAGCCCUCAUUUUUUUUAAAUCUGAAAAAAAACAAAAACAACAACAAUGAUUGUUUCAAAAUGUUUUCCUCUGAAAGUGUUAAUCGGUUACCAACGCGUACUGCAAAGCUUCCUUAAGGACCAAAAUCGGCACGUGCAGCACGGUUUUAUUGACUUGUGUGCGACAUCAUGGACAUUCCCUAGUUAAAAUGUCUGAUGCACGUCAUAAACGGACGUACGGUCUCGAACUGUGUUCACUUUGGUGGCAAUAUAAACCGCCGUUUGCGCAAAAUCCAGUAUGGCCUGAACAUGUCACCAACACGAAAGCUGAGAGACUUUGACCUUGCCAGACGCUGCAGGAUGAAGUUGGAGCCCGAGAAGUUGCCAGAAGUCUUGCAGUGUCAUACUCUGUCAUUGUUCACUGGAAGCAGUGCUAUCAAGCCACUGGAUCAGUCUGAGAACGCCCACGUAAAGAUCGACACAAGAAGACCACUCAGAGUGCUUGCAAGUGGUCCUUAAUUUAUAUUGAAGACUGUAUAUAUAUUUUUUUAUGCACUAAUUUGAAGAAUGCGUUCUCCAUCAUAGAUCCAAACAAGAUUCUAUUCCAAAAUGUAGUUAGUACUAUAUUUUUAAGAGCAAAUGACUGUUUUUACUCUUUGGUUCUUACCAUGACUUGCAAACGUCAAUCAUGAAGUAAAAUCCAAGCCGUUGAUUGACGUGAAAACAACCAACUUCAGUUCCGCGUGCUCAUUAUGAUAAUAUGAUAACGUUAUGUGCAGUUGCGAGUGCCGUAAAACUCGUUCCAAACUGAAACAUAGCUGCAUCUUUCUCAAAACAACCUCAAGGUGACUUAGAUCCUGUAUUUUUGUGACCCUUCAUCAACAAGAUUACUCUUCCGGGCGUUUAUGUGACUCUGAGCAGGAUUGUGCUAGUGUCGAUUGAUUGUGUGUGUACAUAAAUGUAUUUAAUUUUUUAUUAUUAUUAUUGUUAUAGUAAUAUUGAUACACGUGUAUACGUCUAUUUGUUCACUGUUUCUUUCUAUGUUCUGAUGCCACCACACCACCAUCCUUGAUCCCCUUGUUUGAUAUUAUUUAUCUCAAAGUUCUGCCGCAGGACACGAAAUCAUUUGGUUUGUUUGUUAUUGUUGUUGGGGGGGGGGGUGUUUUUGUUUUGUUUUUGUUUCUUUUUGGUUGUUGUUGGUUGUUAUGGUUUUCUGGAGGUUGUCUGUGAGUAAUUUGUUGUUAUUGUUUGUUUAGGGGGGUCCUCUUUUUUUUUUGGGGGGGGGGGUGUCAGUUUUGAAAGUGGAGAAUGGGGGUUUGUGUGUGUAUUGUUGACGGAGGGGGGGGGGGGACAGAAAUUUGUUGGGAAUAGCUUUUGGAAUGCCUGGAGUACAAUGGUCGUCUUCUGUUAUUUGUCCACGAGCAGGCGGAGAAACCCCUCCACUGCUGGAGUAGUGGGUGGUUGGCGGGUGCUCUGGUGAGGUUUGCUCCUUUUUUUCUAUCAACCAUCUAUCGUCCUUAUCCCUCCUCCAUCUGUUUGGUCUUUCUUACACUUUUAUAACAUUUCUAAUCUUCGGCACAUAUAUGACAUUAUUGAGUUGCAAGUGUUGAAAGACGUCUACUAAAAUUUAAUUUUAACAUGUUAUGUUCUAUAGUUAAGCAUAUACAGUUUUAUUAUCAUUAACAUCUAAGCUCAGCAAACGCAAAUGUAUAGCCUCCAUGUUUGAUUCAUUAUUGUUAUAUCACCCCUGUAUUCUUUCCUUCGUUCCUUCCUCUUGCAACAGGGCGCGCGUCUCUCUUUUGACAUGACCUAUUCGCGUAAUUUUAUAAUAGACCCAAUAUACAUGUAUUAUUAUAGUGGUGCAAUAAACAAUACAAAAUACAAAAAA